rnacentral:rRNA from 1 species
AACGAACGCUGGCGGCAGGCUUAACACAUGCAAGUCGAACGCAUCCUUCGGGGUGAGUGGCAGACGGGUGAGUAACGCGUGGGAACGUGCCCUUCAGUCCGGGAUAACCCAGGGAAACUUGGGCUAAUACCGGAUACGUGCGAGAGCAGAAAGAUUUAUCGCUGAAGGAUCGGCCCGCGUCUGAUUAGCUAGUUGGUGAGGUAAUGGCUCACCAAGGCGACGAUCAGUAGCUGGUCUGAGAGGAUGAUCAGCCACAUUGGGACUGAGACACGGCCCAAACUCCUACGGGAGGCAGCAGUGGGGAAUAUUGGACAAUGGGCGCAAGCCUGAUCCAGCCAUGCCGCGUGAGUGAUGAAGGCCUUAGGGUUGUAAAGCUCUUUCGUCCGGGACGAUAAUGACGGUACCGGAAGAAGAAGCCCCGGCUAACUUCGUGCCAGCCGCCGCCGUAACAC